rnacentral:tRNA from 1 species
UCCCAGGUGGCUUAGUGGUAAAGAAUCUGCCUGCUAAGCAGACGUGGGUUCGAUCCCUGGGUC